UCAACAACAAGCCUCAUCUCAACAACAAGCAUCUCUAGCAUCUCUAGCAUCUCAACAACAAGCAUCUCUAGCAUCUCUAGCAUCUCAACAACAAGCCUCAUCUCAACAAUAGGCAUCUCUAGCAUCUCAACAACAAGCCUCAUCUCAACAACAAGCAUCUCUAGCAUCUCAACAAACAAGCCUCAUCUCAACAACAAGCAUCUCUAGCAUCUCAACAACAAGCCUCAUCUCAACAACAAGCAUCUCUAGC
rnacentral:lncRNA from 1 species